GCGGCCUAUCAGCUUGUUGGUGAGGUAAUGGCUCACCAAGGCGACGACGGGUAGCCGGCCUGAGAGGGCGACCGGCCACACUGGGACUGAGACACGGCCCAGACUCCUACGGGAGGCAGCAGUGGGGAAUCUUGCGCAAUGGGCGAAAGCCUGACGCAGCAACGCCGCGUGCGGGAUGAAGGCCUUCGGGUUGUAAACCGCUUUCAGCAGGAACGAAAAUGACGGUACCUGCAGAAGAAGGAGCGGCCAACUACGUGCCAGCAGCCGCGGUGACACGUAGGCUCCAAGCGUUGUCCGGAUUUAUUGGGCGUAAAGAGCUCGUAGGCGGUUUAGUAAGUCGGGUGUUAAAACUCUGGGCUCAACCCGGAGACGCCAUCCGAUACUACUAUGACUUGAGUUCAGGAGGGGAGACUGGAAUUCCU
rnacentral:rRNA from 1 species